CAAGCCACACUCUGAACCCAGUUCCUUCACCUGGAAAAUGGGCGCAAAUCAUAGAAUCCCCAUCAAAUAUUGUUGAGAUGCCACUCAACACAGGGCCUGCCUGGCACACCAUAAAUGGGUUCUAGAGCUUGGUGCCAGCCCAUGGCAUUUGGACUAUUCAUGCCUCUUGCAGAUUGUGGAGUCCACCAGGACGGGGACAGAAUCCCGCCUUAUUUACUUCAGAUAUGUUUAAAAAGGAACAAUAUUACAGUACAGUUGAAGUCCUUGCGCCAAUUCCAUCUCCCUUUCUCCUUCCAAUGCCUGGAGUUUGGUAUUUAUCUUCCUCAUGAUGCUUUUUAUUCCAUUCGUACCUAUGUAUAAACAAUAUAGGAUACUGGGGCUUGGGGGCUUGUUUUUGAACUUCAUAUAAAUGGAAUCAUACAGUAUGUGCUUCUUUUGCUCAGCAUAAUGGCUGUGACGUUCAUCCAGAUUGUUGUGUGUAUCCAUAGUUCAUUCUUUUUUAUUAAGAUGUAAUUCACAUACCAUAAAAUUCACCCUUUUAAAGUAUA